UGGAGCCGCGCCAGAGGCGGGUGAGACGGUCGCCUGGGACCCGCGCGCGGGGGGCGGCGCUGGAGGCUGAGGGGCGCCCCCUCUCUCCAAGUCCCCUCGUUCAAAUCAGGGUGUCAACUGCCGGCACAGCUUCAAAACCCAAAAAAGGCAAAUCUGAGGAAACACCUGCGUCCUUCGCGUUCGCGGCGCUGAAACCCUGAGGCGCGUUCGCCCAGCGCGCGGCGUGCGCUCUGGAACAUAGACCGCGGGCACCUCAGGUCUCCUCGGGGUCGCGCUCAGCUCCUCGUGCCCCCUCCCCGGGGGGUGCGGACUGACCGGAGCCCCCCGACUGCGUCUCUCCGCCGAAGGUCAAGCUGCCAGUCCCCGAAGGCACCCAGCGUGGCCGCGGAGGGGCGUCCUCGCAGCCGCAGGCCUGCACCCCGGCGCGCGCUGUCCUCAAGGACACACACCCCGCUGCUUCCAGGAGGUGACACUCGCUCCAGUUUCAAAGGACAGCUCCCCAUGGCCCCCCAAUAAAAGCUACAUGGAGGGGACUCGAUCUCUCCCCAGCCUGGAAGGUUACUCAGGGAUGUCAGCUGCCUGCAACCUGGGAAAGGGCCCUCACCAGACACGGAGUCGGCCAGCCCUCGGUCUCGGACUUCCGGAGCCAGAUGAGAAACGUUGAACACAGGAAGAAAACAGCUGAGCUGGGAUCUGAACCGCUGAGCUCAGAAGGCAGCCAUUCCAUCCAGAGUGAGGCAGGAAGAAAGGGGCUAUGCCAGUGACCCCGGUCCUUUUUCUAACCAGAGGUUUCCCAGAAAUUCCCGAGCACCCUUCCACUUUCAUCUCACUGAGCAGGCCAGUGUCACGUGGCCACCCCGAGAGGCUGUACCAUCCCUCUGUGACCUCCUGGAGCCUCUCCAACUCUAGGAAGUCCCUUCUGACAACUCCCCAGUGAGGAAAGGGACCUCGUCUGUCUCGGUCGCUGCUAUGUCCUAAGUGCGUAACAAGUAAGGGCUGAAUAAAUAUUUGUUGACUUGAAUGAAUGAGGUGUUCUUGUCUGGGUCUGACCUCACAGCCUGAUUGCUUAAAACUUUCACUUGCCG